AUUUGACCGGAGGAAAAACAUUUUCGACGAUAAUUUUGAUAAAUUGAGCAGAAAUAAAAAAAGACGAAGUAGGUCGUAUGAAUUGGGAUAUUCAUCAGGCCUAUUCGGAAGACGCCGGGGAGGUGAUUACAGCACUACAUCAUAUGUCCUUUUUGGAUCAUUUCUAAUGGCCAGUGUUUUGAUUGUUCUAUAUUGGAUGCACUGCCAAGAAAUAAUACUAAUCCCCAUUUUUAGAAUUG